UACGUAGGGUGCAAGCGUUAAUCGGAAUUACUGGGCGUAAAGCGUGCGCAGGCGGUUUUGUAAGUCUGUCGUGAAAUCCCCGGGCUUAACCUGGGAAUGGCGAUGGAGACUGCAAGGCUAGAAUCUGGCAGAGGGGGGUAGAAUUCCACGUGUGAGCAGUGAAAUGCGUAGAGAUGUGGAGGAACACCGAUGGCGAAGGCAGCCCCCUGGGCUAAGAUUGACGCUCAUGCACGAAAGCGUGGGGAGCAAACAGG
rnacentral:rRNA from 1 species